rnacentral:lncRNA from 1 species
AUGCCGGGAACUGCAGAGCCCCAAAGAGGUUGUACAGCCCUGGCUCAGAGAGCCCCUAGGUCUGGGCUCCCAGAAGCUUGGAGAUGCUGGGAACUGCAGAGCCCCAAAGAGGUUGUACAGCCCUGGCUCAGAGAGACCCUAGGUCUGGGCUCCCAGAAGAGCUGUAGCUCUUCUCUCCUUCUCAAUGUCCACAGUGUGGUGAGUGGGGGAUGUGUUUCUGCCCUGUUUGUCUUGCAGCUCUUCAAUCCCACUGUUUGGCAGGUACAGAGUUCUUGUCCCAUGUCCAGGAAGAAUAAAGUAGGACAACUGGAGGAGUCUGUCUGCCUCCUGCCAGCAUUGAUCAUGCCAUCCACGGUGCCCAAGGAGAUGGGUUUGGGGACAGAACAUAACCAUCUCUCCAACACCAUCAUCCCUUCCUACAUGCGCACACUCUCACAGGCACAAUACCUAUAUAGACUUGCCAUCUAUGAAGGUAUCAGUGCUUGUUCUCCCAACACCUGGUUAAUGACUUGUAUAGGAAAACUACAGAA